GAUGAACGCUAGCGGCAGGCCUAACACAUGCAAGUCGAGGGAGAAGCCCUUCGGGGCAGAAACCGGCGCACGGGUGCGUAACGCGUAUGCAACCUACCUUUCACAGGGGGAUAGCCCGAAGAAAUUUGGAUUAAUACCCCAUAAUAUUAUUGGAUGGCAUCAUUUGAUAAUUAAAAUUACGAUGGUGAAAGAUGGGCAUGCGUCCUAUUAGCUAGUUGGAGUGGUAACGGCACCCCAAGGCUACGAUAGGUAGGGGUCCUGAGAGGGAGAUCCCCCACACUGGUACUGAGACAGGGACCAGACUCCUACGGGAGGCAGCAGUGAGGAAUAUUGGUCAAUGGUCGGAAGACUGAACCAGCCAUGCCGCGUGCAGGAAGAAAUGCCCUUA
rnacentral:rRNA from 1 species